rnacentral:tRNA from 1 species
GCGGAGGUUGCCGAGAGGACAAAGGCGCAGCGUUGAGGUCGCUGUCCCGUAGGGGUCCGAGGGUUCAAAUCCCUCCCUCCGCA